rnacentral:rRNA from 1 species
GACGUAGGGCGCGAGCGUUGUCCGGAUUUAUUGGGCGUAAAGAGCUCGUAGGCGGCUUGUCGCGUCGACUGUGAAAUCCCGCGGCUCAACUGCGGGUCUGCAGUCGAUACGGGCAGGCUAGAGUUCGGUAGGGGAGACUGGAAUUCCCGGUGUAGAGGUGAAAUUCGUAGAUAUCGGGAGGAACACCGGUGGCGAAGGCGGCGAUCUGGGUAGAUACUGACGCUGAGGUGCGAAAGCGUGGGGAGCAAACAGG